rnacentral:rRNA from 1 species
UGGCGGCAGGCCUAACACAUGCAAGUCGAGCGGCAGCGGGAAGUAGUUUACUACUUUGCCGGCGAGCGGCGGACGGGUGAGUAAUGUCUGGGAAACUGCCUGAUGGAGGGGGAUAACUACUGGAAACGGUAGCUAAUACCGCAUGACCUCGUAAGAGCAAAGUGGGGGACCUUCGGGCCUCACGCCAUCGGAUGUGCCCAGAUGGGAUUAGCUAGUAGGUGGGGUAAUGGCUCACCUAGGCGACGAUCCCUAGCUGGUCUGAGAGGAUGACCAGCCACACUGGAACUGAGACACGGUCCAGACUCCUACGGGAGGCAGCAGUGGGGAAUAUUGCACAAUGGGCGCAAGCCUGAUGCAGCCAUGCCGCGUGUGUGAAGAAGGCCUUCGGGUUGUAAAGCACUUUCAGCGAGGAGGAAGGCAGUCGUGUUAAUAGCACGAUUGAUUGACGUUACUCGCAGAAGA